UUUUUUUUUUUUUUUUUUUUGGUUCUUUUUUUCGGAGCUGGGGACUGAACCCAGGGCCUUGCGUUUCCUAGGCAAGCACUCUACCACUGAGCUAAAUCCCCAACUGGUAGAGGGAAUUUUUAACUAAUGGAAGUUGGUGGGGGUGGGGAAGACUGGCCGGUGGCCCUUCUUCCCCUUCUUCCCCUUCUCCCCCUUUCCUCUUUUUCGUUGUUGUUGUUGUUGUUGUUGUUGUUGUUUUGUUGUUGUUGUUGUUGUGUUGUUUUGGUUUUUCGAGACAGGGUUUCUCUGUUUAGCCUUGGCCAUCCAAGAACUCUCCCUGUAGACCAGGCUGACCUUGAACGCACAGAGAUCUGCCUGUCUUUGUCUCCGAGUGUUGGGAUUAAAGGAACACCACCACCACUGCUUGGCCCUUUCGUUUCCUUUUAUCCCACCGCCUGCUCUAGAACACAGACAGGGGUGGCCCCUCUGAAAGAUCGACUCCCCUUACCUCCAGCCUGUACCAGAUAUGAGUGUCCAGGGGUUGGUGUCUGUGAACGUCUGCCCCACUGCUCUCAGUGCUGCCCCCGGUGGGAUGCUUUUCUUUGCCAUGGUCACUACCACCCGACAGUCCUGGAGUCACGUGGGGAGCGAAGGCUGUGGAACAGGCUUGGUUUCUCCUCCGAUGGUCUAGGGGAACUGGGACCAUUGUCCAGGCAGGAGUUCAUUUUGCUUUCGCUAGUGCAGACUUUUCCCCACCCCAGUGUCUCUGCUGUCACUUUCUUUUGUCUAUCCAGAUUUUUAUUUUGUUCUGUUUGUUUUUAUUUGUUUGAGAUAGGGUUUUUCUGUGUAACAGUCCUACCUGUCCUGGAAUUCGCUUUGUAGACCAAGGUGGCCUCCCGAGUACUAGGAUUAAAGGCGUGUGCCACUGUACCACACUUGGCUACUGUCACUCAAGGCUGGUCCUGAUGCUAGGCAUGGAGUGUAGGUAGAGGCACAUUUGUCUUGGGGGCAUGGGCAGGCCUGUGGGGGCGCACGCCUCAGCUGAGCUGCCUCCGUCGCCCAGGUGUUCCUGAUCUGGGGAACCUGGACCCUACCAGUCUGUCCUGGAGACAGAAGAGACAAGAUGCAUUUGAUAGGAGUAGAUGGAAGCCCCCUUCCCUGCUCCUCACUAUGGGAUUCCAUCUUGGCACGCAGGCUUGAUGCCUCUCCUAGGCCCACUCUGCAUGUAGGAGACACACUGAGAAGCCAAUCCAGGAAGCAUUCUGCUACCUGCUCCCUUCAGACCCUGGGAACACCCAAUGCUGUGCUCUCAGCUCUGGCUUCUGGACCCUAAGGCUCAGAGGCAGAAGACAGGUUUGAUGCCAGCAUCUGGCCUUGGCUGCCUCCCACAGCAUGUCUUCUCAAACUGGAUGAGCAUCAGGAGCCUUCUUCAGGUGGGAGCUGCUGCUUUGCCUUCCUAGAAAUCUAAGUAACUGAUGUGGUGCCUACUUUAAUUUGUUCCAAAAGCUUUAAGAAAAGGACCUAGAUAAAUUCCAAGGGAGUUAUAGCUGAGACUGCCUCUGUGUGCCAGCACAGGGUAUCUAUCCAUAGAGCGGCAUCUAUCUGCUGCCUUCCCCAGGGGUAAUGAGGGUGUGGAUACUGUGCAUGCUCUUGGGUUAGUCCUCACGCUGUGAAAUUAAAUACCUGGUUGCAUGCUCACCACAUGCACCUUGAAUUAAAUACUGGGUUGCAUGCUCACUGCAUGCCCCUUGAGUUAACUGCUGAGCUGCAGCAGCUGCAGGGCAGACCCCAGAGUGACUUGAGUACCCAAGAUGGCCUAGAAAACACCAUUCUGAAUGAAUGGACGAGAUGAGUGUUAGCUCACUGGAAGCCACUGGGAGGUAAGGGGCACUUACAGUUUUCCCAGAGUGAAGUUAAGACUUGAGUUCUGAAUCAAAUAUUCUACUUAAGAAUAAAAGCCCCUUGGAGAGAUGGCUCAGUGGUUAGAGCACUGACUGUUCUUCCCGAGGUCCUGAGUUCAAUUCCCAGCAACCACAUGGUGGCUCACAACCAUCUGUAAUGGGAUCCGAUGCCCUCUUCUGGUGUGUCUGGAGACAGCUACAGUGUACUCACAUACAUGAAAUAAAUUAAUCUUUUAAAAAAAAGAAUAAGAGCCCCUAAUCUGGGCAGGGCAUGGUAUUGCCGACCUGUUAUCCCAAUACUCAGGAGACAGAAGCAAACAGAUUUCCAGGACUUCAAGGCCAGCCUGGUGUACAUAGUGAGUCCCAGGUUAGCCACCAGAGCAAUAGAGUGAGAUUCUGUGUCCUAAAAGAAGGGGAAGGAAAGUUCCUAAUCUCUGAAAUUCCCCAUCUCUCCUACCUUGAGCGGGAGUGAGGGCCAUUGGCUGCUGUCAAAGGUAGCUGCAUCUGUGUGAAGAACUGUUGUCUCUGCUCAGCUUUGGACCACAGACACUGGAAAGGAGAUCUAGGGCUCCCGGUUCAGCCCGUAGAGCUUGAGGGGUGCAUGGCCCGAGAUAGGUGAGGACUAGGGGACAGAGCUGUGGGUUCCCUGCCCAGUCUCAGUCAGACUCAGCACUCUGCUUACUCUUUUAUAUGAUUGGGUGGUAGAGAGGCUGGAGCAUACAAUUUCGUUUGAUAGGCUGGAGAGGGCUCAGCAGUUAGCAGCCCUUACUACUCUUGCAGAGGAUCCGGGUUCAGCUCCCAGUACCCAUGUGGUAACUCAUAACUGCCUGUAACUCGGGUUCGAGGAUAUCCUCUACUGUAGUGUGGCCUGGGAGGCUCCCUGUGUCCAAAACACUCCUGGAGUCCUCUACCACUGACAAGGAGCAGGCAAAUGGUCCAUGGGGGAUUGUGUCUUUGCAUACUCCUGGCUGCUGCCUGUGUCCUGUCCUGGAGUCAUGGAGUAGAUGGACAUGUAGAGAUGGAGUAGGUGUUUUUCUACCCCAUCCCUGGGUGGAUUUAGUUCUGAAUGAUCAAAAUGUUCCCAAAGGCUCAAGCGGAUUUUCCACCCUUUCCAUGGUCAAAUGUGCCGUGAGAAACACAAGGGAUUGCCAGGGACAUGCUGUCCACCCAGUCUUUGCACAACUCAUAAGCUCUUAGGCUAUUUCAGCCUCUCCUGUCCACUGGGAGCCCUGGGAACAGCCACCUGAGGUGGUAAGGCAGAGUGAAGAGGGGCUGCAGGGGCAUCAGUGCUUUGGACCAUGGCCAUCUAGGAACCAGCACAAGCUUCUGAGGAGACAGCAGGAGGGCAGGCCACUUGGGUGGGCUGGGAAGUUUUUUCAUCUUAGCUACAGUGUGUGUAGUGUUUACACUUGGGCCCAUCCUGGAACCUGCUCCCAACCCUGGACAUCUAUCUAUAACGACCCAUACCUGCUUAGGAAGGAAGGAUUUGAGCUUCCAGAGCUGAAACUGCUAUAACCCCUUACAUGAUGUUUAUUGGGCAUGAGAAGGGCUCUGGGCUUUGGAGCCCAGGAGGGGAGCAGGCUCCCUACUGAGCCCGGAUUUCUUCUAUUGAGUCAAGGCAGGGGGUAGUCACUGGGGAGUGGCCAGGUUGCUGUUAGGCUGAGUUCCCUUUGAGCUUCAAGAAAGCCUGUGCCCGGGCUCAGCGGUUAAGAGCACCCGACUGCUCUUCCGGAGGUCAUGAGUUCAAUUCCCAGCAACCACAUGGUGGCUCACAACCAUCUAUAAAGAGAUCCGAUGCCCUUUUCUGAUGUAUCUGAAGAUAGCUACAGUGUACUUAUAUAUAAUAAAUGAAUAAAUCUUU
rnacentral:lncRNA from 14 species